rnacentral:rRNA from 1 species
UACGUAGGGUGCGAGCGUUGUCCGGAAUUAUUGGGCGUAAAGAGCUCGUAGGCGGCCUGUCGCGUCGGAUGUGAAAGCCCGGGGCUUAACCCCGGGUCUGCAUUCGAUACGGGCAGGCUAGAGUGUGGUAGGGGAGAUCGGAAUUCCUGGUGUAGCGGUGAAAUGCGCAGAUAUCAGGAGGAACACCGGUGGCGAAGGCGGAUCUCUGGGCCAUUACUGACGCUGAGGAGCGAAAGCGUGGGGGGCGAACAGG